CUACGGGUUGCUCCAGUGAGGAAUAUUGCACAAUGGGGGGAACCCUGAUGCAGCAACGCCGCGUGGAGGAUGACGCAUUUCGGUGUGUAAACUCCUUUUAUAUGUCAAGAAAAUGACGGUAGCAUAUGAAUAAGCACCGGCUAACACCGUGCCAGCAGCCGCGGUAAUACGGAGGGUGCAAGCGUUACUCGGAAUCACUGGGCGUAAAGGACGCGUAGGCGGGUUGGAAAGUCAGGUGUGAAAUCCUACAGCUUAACUGUAGAACUGCACUUGAAACUUCUAAUCUAGAGUAUGGGAGGGGGAGAUGGAAUUAGUGGUGUAGGGGUAAAAUCCGUAGAUAUCACUAGGAAUACCUAAAGCGAAGGCGAUCUGCUGGAACAUAACUGACGCUAAGGCGUGAAAGCGUGGGGAGCAAACAGGAUUAGAUACCCUAGUAGUC
rnacentral:rRNA from 1 species